GUAGCAGAGCAAUGAGUAUGUCCCAGGAGCAUUUGCAGUCAUCGUCUCCAGAUUAUGAGAUUCCCAUGCUCCACAACCCUCAGUCUAUGAACAUCAUGCAGAGCGAACCUUGGACGUCCCUUGACGAAAUCAAACCAGCAAAUCAGAAGGACAGCCUGUUGCUACCGUUGUUAUCAUAUUAACCCCAUACCGAAGAAGCUCAGAGAUAUAAAUGCUGUUUAAUAUGUGCUAGUCUCAACAUACCCCGUGUCUGGUGUGAACAUGUACAAUUGAAGGUCUCUACAAACCCCAUGUCUGGUGUGAACAUGUACAAUUGGAGGUCUCUACAUACCCCAUGUCUGGUGCGAACAUGUACAAUUGAGGGCUCUACAUACCCCAUGUCUGGUGUGAACAUGUACAAUUGAAGGUCUCUUCAUACCCCAUGUCUGGUGUGAACAUGUACAAUUGAAGGUCUCUACAUACCCCAUGUCUGGUGUGAACAUGUACAAUUGAAGGUCUCUGCAUACCCCAUGUCUGGUGUGAACAUGUACAAUUGAAGGUCUCUGCAUACCCCAUGUCUGGUGUGAACAUGUACAAUUGAAGGUCUCUGCAUACCCCAUGUCUGGUGUGAACAUGUACAAUUGAAGGUCUCUACAUACCCCAUGUCUGGUGUGAACAUGUACAAUUGAAGGUCUCUUCAUACCCCAUGUCUGGUGUGAACAUGUACAAUUGAAGAUCUCUACAUACCCCAUGUCUGGUGUGAACAUGUACAAUUGAAGGUCUCUACAUACCCCAUGUCUGGUGUGAACAUGUACAAUUGAAGAUCUCUACAUACCCCAUGUCUGGUGUGAACAUGUACAAUUGAAUGUCUCAUCUUAGAAAUUUGGACACGUGGAAAAUUAGUGACUUGAUUCAGACAGAAAUCGCAUAAUGACAAAUCACAACAAAAAGUGGAAAUCCAGAAAUUCUUGUGGCCAGCAAUGUUUUUAUGUGACUGACCAAGUAGUGUUCAAAGAAAAACAAUAGUUCAUGUUUUAUUGGAACUAUGAUGUUGUCAGUCAUUUUAUGUUGAAGGCUUUAAAUAACUAUAUUUAAAUAUAAUACGAUUAAGAUUACUUGAUAAAAGAAAUAAUGUAAAAUAGUAUUUUAAGCGCAAAAUUUACAAGUCUAUCCAAUAACUGUGUCUGUAUUAUGACAUUUUAUUUUGGAAAUGUUAAGGAAAAUAUAAUGUUAGUAAAUAUAUUUCUAUGAAUGUUGAUUUUAACAUUUGUCAAAGCUGUUUAAAUGAUGCUGGUAAUUUUGUUUUAUGAAAUGUAUUAUUUUCAUGUAAUGAGACAUGCUUCAGUUUUUUUGUGGCUUAACCUGUAAUAUAGAGGUGGUAGUUACAAGAAUUGUUUAGCCAGAUGGAGAAUGUUUAUGCUAUGGCUUUGAUACUCUUAAGUGUGCCAAUUGGUGUCAGGUUUAUAUCAAGAAUAUUGUUUAUUGUCUUACAAUUUCUUGAAAAUAUUGAUUAAUUUUAGACAAAAUCAUUUAAUCUUCCUUAAAUUGUCUAUUCUGUAUUUACGACCAGUUAUUUAUUAAUUUGCUUGAACAUGAUUUAAGAAUGACUUUUUUGUUGCUUAAAAUGCUUUAUAUGUUUUAAAACUGAGCAUUUAAAAACGAAAAUGUAGGAUGUGGGAAUAAUGUCUAAAGUUAUGAUAAUUAUUUUUUGUUUUUGUAAAGUUAAUUAUGCUUUAUAUGUUUGUGUAUAGGCAUUUAGACGACCAGAUUAACCUGACCAAGAAUCCUUGAUCAAUGUGUUUAUCGGUCAGUUCAUUUGUCAUUUGUAUAAAGAGCGAUUGCGAAAUGAUUGUAUUGUUAAUGAAAAUCAUGCGUUUAUUGUUGCCAUUUUGAUUUUCGCUGUUAAUAUGUAUUUGUACAAACAAUUUUCAUCAUGUACAUCUUUCAGAUGCCAGAUAAUAAAAACAAACAUUGCUUGUGGAGAUGCUCAUUUAAAACCUUCUUAAUGAUACAGAACAACACAUUCUGAAGAGGCAAAUAUCCUUUAGGCAAAAGGAAAAUCUUGUUACUAGUAUAUGUACUGCUUUUUAUUAAAUAAAGUCAAGCAACUAUUGAAAGAUUGGUUUAACUUUGUUUUGCAUUAUCUUAAGAAAAAUUAAUAUAUACUACUUGGAAAUCAGUCAAUUGCAAAUCAAGCAAGCGUGAUUUAACAUGCUAACACUUGUCAAUAAUUGAAUUGUCUCUCUUUGUACGUAAGAUAUAGGGAUGUUGUUGCUUGAAAAACAAAGUUGUGUCCGU